rnacentral:rRNA from 2 species
CGGUGCGAUCAUACCAGCACUAAUGCACCGGAUCCCUUCAGAACUGCGCAAUUAAGUGUGUUUGGGAGAGAGUAGUACUAGAAUGGGUGACCUCUAGGGAAGUCCUUGUGUUGCACCUG